UGGGACUCGAUCCUGGGACACGGGGUCACGCCCUGAGCCCAAGGCAGACGCUCAGCCCCUGAGCCCCCCAAAUGCCCCCCUUUUUGCAUAGAAUUUGAGAAUGAUUUUUGACUUUGAAUUGUACUCAUAUGCACCUCAGUAAGCUUUUACGUGACUCAUAGAAGAAAAGUCUGAGUGACAUAAGUGAGGAAACCGUUGAACAACCUCACAACCUCUCCUUCUGUAAUAGCUCUCAGAAAGGGGCCUCAAUAAAUUAAAACACUGAGAUUUCUAAUAACUUUAAAGGCAUCAUUGUGUUUUUCACUGCCUACGGUAACGGACACCCCAAAGGUGGGGGCGCCUGAGCUCAGUGUCCAGGGUUACCUUCCCCACACCCAUUCUACAGCAGUCGUGUAGUUUAGGUGGAAUUAACCCCUCCAUCAGCCCCAGGGCUCAGGUCUGAUUGUUAGGAUACAUCGGGAUCAUCCCACCCCCUUGCCGUGGACGUUGGCUUCAGUGGCCUUGGCUUAAGCCAAUCGAUGGCUGGGUCAGCGGGAAUCUCAGAACGUCUGUUAGGUAGUUGCGGAGAGCAACCUAUCUUUCCCAGAUAAGAAAAAGGAAGCACGUGAAUCUACUUGUACCGACAGAUAUCCUAUAACUUCAAGGGGUCCGGCCCUCGGGUGAAGCCCACACUGUCGACGGAAGAUAGAGCUCUGAAAAAAAAAUGGAAGCAACAGAGUCAACGAUGACAUCAUGGAGCUAACUGUUCUGAAACUCACACCCCCGGAGUUCCACGGAACCUAUUAACUCCGUCAUUGUUUAAGGUGAGGCGAGUUGGUCUUUCCGUCACUUGGAAUGGAGAGGCUUUCCAACUGAGGCAGAAACAUUGGUCUGUGGCACACCCCGAAAAUCACAUUAAAAUGAGCACAGAUGAUUAUGAAUGUUCCGAGUGGACUCCUUGCCGCCCACCUGGCUUAAGGACUGUAAGGCACUUCGGAAAUCAAAUUUCAGGAAAGAAGAUUGGUUUGAGAAACAAUGAACGAGGAGAAAUCUUCUCUUUGCAGAGCUGCUGUGUGUCAAAGUUUAUCCUCAUUAUAUUAUGGUAGGAAGAAAAGAACAAAUUAAGACAUUUAACUGUUUAAAAUUUGAGACCCAAUUACAUUUAACACUGCAAAUCGUGUUACAGGACCUGUGGGCUUACCCUCUCCCUGUGUGAAGUCUGGUUGUAUGUUAGCAAAUAACAUUUUUUUUUUUUAAAUUGUGGAGUGGGUCUGAGCUAAGUGGAUAAUCACCACUACACAUUCUCUGCCAUAUAAAAGAAGAUCCUGUAGGAUCUAAAGAGUUUUAUAAUGAUAUCAAAAGUCCUUAAAAAGACUUUUAAAUAUGCUCCUUCCCUGCCCACUAUGGCUAGCGCCGGCGUGCUUUAAAUUAAGAGCAAUUGUGUAACUGCUCAAGUUCUAAU
rnacentral:lncRNA from 1 species